UCCUUCCGCGGUGACACUUAUCGAAGCCUUGAAUUACGCCCUCGCAAGAGGGAGAUGCCCAACGACUGUAAACAAAUGGGACGCGUAAGUUGGCCCCCGUGGCCGGCGACACUUUCGAAUUGCGGGGAUACCCUGAGAGCUCUGCCUACCAACCCGGGGGGAAACCCACCGGGGGCCCGUGCUAACAACACGGGGCGGUAAAAACGGCCAGAGAUUGGGCAAUCCGCAGCCAAGCCCCUAACUCCAGCCCGCCUGGACUCGGGGAA
rnacentral:rRNA from 1 species